rnacentral:miRNA from 1 species
UCAGAUGAAGCUGCCAGCAUGA